rnacentral:rRNA from 1 species
AGAGUUUUGAUUCCAUGGCUCAGGAUGAACGCUAGCGGGAGGCCUAACACAUGCAAGCCGAGCGGUAUAAGAUCUUCGGAUCUUAGAGAGCGGCGCACGGGUGCGGAACACGUGUGCAACCUACCUUUAUCAGGGGGAUAGCCUUUCGAAAGGAAGAUUAAUACCCCAUAAUAUAUUGAAUGGCAUCAUUUAAUAUUGAAAACUCCGGUGGAUAGAGAUGGGCACGCGCAAGAUUAGAUAGUUGGUGAGGUAACGGCUCACCAAGUCAAUGAUCUUUAGGGGGCCUGAGAGGGUGAUCCCCCACACUGGUACUGAGACACGGACCAGACUCCUACGGGAGGCAGCAGUGAGGAAUAUUGGACAAUGGGUGAGAGCCUGAUCCAGCCAUCCCGCGUGAAGGACGACGGCCCUAUGGGUUGUAAACUUCUUUUGUAUAGGGAUAAACCUUUCCACGUGUGGAAAGCUGAAGGUACUAUACGAAUAGC